AAGUGUAUCAGUGAGUGAACACACCACCACCCACGCACCCACCACCAUGUAGUGGGAGCCCAGGGUUCGGUUGGUCAAGCAGUCUGCCCUUGUGGUCUGUGGGGAGAAGACUUGCGUGUCGUGCUGCUCUCAUCCUGCCGGUACCUUUGCUAUUAAGUCAUUGGUGUGGUGACUGUGACCUGCCCUGACCUGCCUGUGACCUGCCCUGACCUGCCUGCCCUGACCUGCCUGUGACCUGCCUUGACUUGCUCUGACACACAUGGUGAGCCGAGACCUUCCGAGACCUUCCAAGACCUUCCAAAAUCUGCCGUGACCCACAGAUGAAGAUAUAUAGAUUUAAGAAGUGCGAUGAUGCGAGACAGACAGACAGACAGACAGGUGUGGGAUGAGUGCUGGCAUACUGAAGGUCAAGAGGUCAAGAGGUCAAGAGUCACGUGUUGAGUCGUAUGGGUCACCAGACAGGUCACCCACCUAACCCCACUCGGCCUGUCAGUUCA